rnacentral:rRNA from 1 species
UACGUAGGGUGCGAGCGUUGUCCGGAAUUAUUGGGCGUAAAGAGCUCGUAGGCGGUUUGUCGCGUCUGCUGUGAAAUCCCGAGGCUCAACUCCGGGCCUGCAGUCGAUACGGGCUGGCUUGAGUGCGGUAGGGGAGACUGGAAUUCCUGGUGUAGCGGUGAAAUGCGCAGAUAUCAGGAGGAACACCGGUGGCGAAGGCGGGUCUCUGGGCCGUAACUGACGCUGAGGAGCGAAAGCGUGGGGAGCGAACAGG